GACGAACGCUGGCGGCGUGCUUAACACAUGCAAGUCGAGCGAGAAAGCGGCUUCGGCCGUGAGUACAGCGGCGAACGGGUGAGUAACACGUGGGCAACCUGCCCCAGAGAUUGGGAUAACGUCCCGAAAGGGACGCUAAUACCGAAUGACGCGUGACCUGCCAAGUGGGUCACGCCAAAAGGUAGCCUCGGCCUCUGCUCUGGGAUGGGCCCGCGCCGGAUGAGCUUGUUGGUAGGGUAAAGGCCUACCAAGGCGACGAUCCGUAGCUGGUCUGAGAGGACGAUCAGCCGCACUGGGACUGAGACACGGACCAGGCUCCUACGGGAGGCAGCAGUGGGGAAUCUUGCGCAAUGGGCGGAAGCCUGACGCAGCAACGCCGCGUGGGUGAAGAAGGCCUUCGGGUCGUAAAGCCCUUUCGGACGGGACGAACGCUCCGCGGUGACAAGCCGCGGAGCCUGACGGUACCGUAAGAAGAAGCACCGGCUAACUCCGUGCCAGCAGCCGCCGUAAGAC
rnacentral:rRNA from 1 species